AUGGGACGCUAAGGGGCAACCCUUCGCAAAUCUCAAAAAGCCGUCUCAGUUCGGAUUGGGCUCUGCAACUCGAGCCCAUGUAGUUGGAAUCGCUAGUAAACGUGGAUCAGCAUGCCACGGUGAAUACGUUCCCGGGCCUUGUACACACCGCCCGUCACACCAUGGGAGUUGGUUUUACCUGAAGACGGUGCGCUAACCCGCAAGGGAGGCAGCCGGCCACGGUAGGGUCAGCGACUGGGGUGAAGUCGUAACAAGGUAGCCGUAGGGGAACCUGCGGCUGGAUCACCUCCUUU
rnacentral:rRNA from 1 species